UGGGGAAUUUUGGACAAUGGGCGAAAGCCUGAUCCAGCAAUGCCGCGUGUGUGAAGAAGGCCUUCGGGUUGUAAAGCACUUUUGUCCGGAAAGAAAUGGCACUGGUUAAUACCUGGGGUCGAUGACGGUACCGGAAGAAUAAGGACCGGCUAACUACGUGCCAGCAGCCGCGGUAAUACGUAGGGUCCAAGCGUUAAUCGGAAUUACUGGGCGUAAAGCGUGCGCAGGCGGUUGUGCAAGACCGAUGUGAAAUCCCCGAGCUUAACUUGGGAAGUGCAUUGGUGACUGCACGGCUAGAGUGUGUCAGAGGGGGGUAGAAUUCCACGUGUAGCAGUGAAAUGCGUAGAGAAGUGGAGGAAUACCGAUGGCGAAGGCAGCCCCCUGGGAUAACACUGACGCUCAUGCACGAAAGCGUGGGGAGCAAACAGG
rnacentral:rRNA from 1 species